rnacentral:rRNA from 1 species
AGCAGCAGCCGCGGUAAUACGUAGGGGGCAAGCGUUGUCCGGAAUUAUUGGGCGUAAAGCGCGCGCAGGCGGUCAUUUAAGUCUGGUGUUUAAUCCCGGGGCUCAACCCCGGAUCGCACUGGAAACUGGGUGACUUGAGUGCAGAAGAGGAGAGUGGAAUUCCACGUGUAGCGGUGAAAUGCGUAGAUAUGUGGAGGAACACCAGUGGCGAAGGCGACUCUCUGGGCUGUAACUGACGCUGAGGCGCGAAAGCGUGGGGAGCAAACAGGAUUAGAUACCCCGGUAGUCCCUGUCUCUUAUGCA